CAGUCGCCACGGUAAUACGAAGGGGGCUAGCGUUGCUCGGAAUGACUGGGCGUAAAGGGCGCGUAGGCGGAUUGUUUAGUUAGGCGUGAAAUUCCUGGGCUUAACCUGGGGACUGCAUCUUAUACUGCGUAGCUGGAGUGCAGUAGAGGGUAGUGGAAUUUCCGGUGUAGCGGUGAAAUGCGUAGAUAUCGGAAGGAACACCAGUGGCGAAGGCGGCUACCUGGACUGACACUGACACUGAGGCGCGAAAGCGUGGGGAGCAAACAGGAUUAGAUACCCGCGUAGUCCCUGUCUCUUAUAC
rnacentral:rRNA from 1 species